CAACCACAGAGCACUGAGAACCUUAUUACAUAAGGGCCUUAAGAAUCAUUUACAUACAUUUUUAACUAUGUUGGUUUUAUUCUGUCUUGCUGUAUAUGGGUUGAGGAUCUUCAGGAUAAACCUACAUAAUGUGUGCACAACCAUAUGUCUACGGACGUCCUUGCGGGUAUAGAAACGGCGAUCACAGUGUUCACACUGGUGCUUUUUUUCUUUCACCCCACCAGAAGAUUUGCCUGCAUGAGUUUUGAGGUGCUCCAAAAGUACCCCUGUGCUUUCAAAAGUCUGCAAACAUACCUUACAGGCAGCACAGAGAUUUGUGGACUAUGGAAGAAACUACUCAGCUUGUGGAUACAACAGAUUAUGGUAAAGCUAGACAGAGCGCACUAACAAGUUUUUUGGCUUUUUUUCUUUUAAUGAAAUGUGUUUUGCAACAUCCCUCAAAAGUAUUUUCCCCACAUUUUAGUAGAAAUCUAAUUUGAAUUACCAGCUCAUUUCCUAAUUGUGAGUAAUGGGUAAAAACUAUUAAGACAAUCAACUCUGAUACAGAAGUUUUACAGUUUAAGAAUUCUUCCCCACAUUCUGUCUCUCCAUACCAAGGUCAGGUCUAUAGUGGGGAACCCUAUUGCCUCUUAACCAUGUGACACUUAAUUUUUUUUUAAGUUCUGAGUUUUUAAAAUGCUUACCUGUUAAAACCUUGGUUUAAAAAAUAUAUGUGGAAUAUAAAUAAAAUAUUAUUCAGUGUAAAUUUUUUCUCUCUUAUUUCCCUAACCCUAUAAAAUUACUAAGUAGGGCUGGGGAAAAGAAAGUUACAUUUAUCUAAAAAUUAUAAGUCUAAAAAAAAGCAUCCAACCAUAACCAACUUGUAUUAAAUUAUCUAUAUUGGAAUAUGUUCAUACUAUAGUGUUUGUUUACAUUUAGAAAUCAGAAUUAAUAAAACAUAUAGAAACAAUGUGAUUCAUUGAAUGUGGUACUGAAGCGAAAGUUUAGGAGGUCAAGAUACUUUUUUUUUUGGGUUUUUUUUUGUUUUGUUUUGUUUCAUCAGUGAUUUACUGGCUGACUAUAUAAAAGAUGUAAUCUCUCUGAACCUUACCAGACUCUAAAAACUUAUGGCUUUAUUUGUUGUUGUUUUUUUUUAUUUGUAAAUACACUAUUGCUUAUUUCAAUGCUAUCACUUUACUGAUCUUGUUACAAUGCGAUUCACAACUAUGAAAGAAAAAUGUGUUUUUUUGGUAAAUAAAUCAUGAAUUCCAACUGUUAUUUACAAAAAUUGGAUAACAGGUGACAUGGCAAAGAAUUAUGCAGUAUUUUGCACAUGGUAAUAAAUACUAGUUAACUUGGGAUCAUUUUGAAUUUAUCUUGAGCAACAAUCA